rnacentral:rRNA from 1 species
UAGGCGUGAAACAAAAGGGACGAGCGAAGGAAGCGAUCUGGAGGCGAAACCCAAAAAAGCAGUCUCAGUUCGGAUUGAAGUCUGCAACUCGACUUCAUGAAGUCGGAAUCGCUAGUAAUCGCGGAUCAGAACGCCGCGGUGAAUACGUUCUCGGGGUUU